GGGGGGGGGGGGGGGGGGGGGGGGGGGGGGGGGGGGGGGGGGGGGGGGGGGCGUGGGGGGGCGGGCGAGGGCGGGCGGGUGGGCAACGCGUGAGGAGCUUGCCCUGCAGGGGGGGAUGACAGAGGGAAACGGCGGAGAAGACCUGGUAACGUCGGGCGGACUCAUGUCCAGCCUGAUGAAAAGUGAUGCUGCAGGAGAGCCUUGCGUCCUAUUAGCUUGUUGGUGGGGUAACGGCCCACCAAGGCGAUGAUAGGUAGCCGGCCUGAGAGGGUGGACGGCCACAAGGGGACUGAGAUACGGCCCUUACUCCUACGGGAGGCAGCAGUGGGGAAUAUUGGACAAUGGGGGCAACCCUGAUCCAGCAAUUCUGUGUGCACGAUGAAGGUUUUCGGAUUGUAAAGUGCUUUCAGCAGGGAAGAAAAAAAUGACGGUACCUGCAGAAGAAGCGACGGCUAAAUACGUG
rnacentral:rRNA from 1 species